AACAUUUGGCGGUGUCUGCUUAACUUUGUGUGCUUUAUUUAUUAAUGUAUUUGAAUUGAGCCCUCAUACUAUGUUGGAUUUUUACAGGAAGCUGUACGGAGAUUGCACAAUGGGGAAAACAACAUACACAAAUAUGACCCACAGACAAGUCUAUCCUCCCCCCACAACCUCGAGGUCACAACCUAUCUUUUUAAUGGCAUCUCCAUGGCUGUACCGGACGUAGAUCCUGCUGUUGUUAAAGCAUCCUGCAAGACGUAUUUUGAAACUGUUUGAAGGGGUUACAGGAUGGCUCAAGAUGAGAACAAAGACAAGAUGGAGGACAGCAGGAUCAUUGCGCGCAUGAGACAAAGAAAAAGAAGACUGCUGAGCAGCAGGAAUGGCGUUCUCCAGACAGAGGAAGAGGCAGCUAUCUGGAAGACUGCAACAGUUGACCACAUGUCUGAAGAGGAGGAUGCCAUCUUGGAUGGAAAGUUGGUGUGGGUUGUUCGG